GGAACGAGGAAUGAAGUUCGGGCAGUUGUGAGAUUUCUCAGGCCAAAUCAUGUAAUCUUGGGACUAAUCCCGAGGAUGACGGGCCGAGAUCAAGGAAAGAGAAGCUUAAGAAGAUGGAUCUCGGGUACAUCUCGAAGCUUUCUCGAUCAAGUUCAAGAACAUAGUAGUUUCUCGAUCGAGUUCAAGAACAUAGUAGUGUUUGAGAUGGAACUCAAGUCAGAAGAGAAGAAUCUCGGCCCAAAUAGGCCCCGGGAUUGCCUGAGAUCCCGCCAUACUUCUUUUUUUUUUUCUUUUAAAAGUUUGUUGAACCGGUUUAGUCUAUCACUUUAAAUAACUGCUGAACCAACGGUUCGCGAAUUUUUUUUUCCCUUCAUCGUAUUGGUGCGCUAAUCAAACCCACUAAACGGAGGUGCCGCUGAGCUUGAAGUUGACGUUAGACGCACCACCCGGGCUUCAGAUACGGAGGUGGACGGUAGAGGCUCCAACUCCCACAAACCGACCACCACCUCCAAAAGAGACCACUGGCGGUAUCGUCAGAGACAGCAGCGGCUCUGGUAUGUAGAGGCGGCGGUGAAUGCCUGUUGAGCAAAAACAAGAUAUGAUGAGCUCGGUUAUGAAGAAGAUGAAGAAUAGAUGGAAAGAAUGAAAAAUAAAAGAAGACAAACAACUGAAAAUAAGGUAUCAUAAGGACAGGGAAACCCAAAAUGUUCAAAGCAAUGAAGAAAGUUGCUUAAAAAAAAGAAGCAAAAACAAAGAAAGACUCCAAAACAACACCAACAUCAUGCUCAAACCUUCAACUUAGAACUUACAUCUCCAUCUCAAACUGAUCAUUCCCAACCUUGAUCUUGGAACUUGCCUUUAGAAUAGUGAAUAUGGCCUUGUUAUGUUGACAAUGAAUUGCAUAUUUUGAAACUUGCUUUUAGUCUUGAAAAUUUUGUUUAUCGUGAAAGUGAAAUACAUUUUGGUCGAAAAAAAAUGUAAAAAUAUGUAAACUUUAAAGACAAUGAAUGUUGAUUUUUCGUGUGUUAAAAUUUUCAAGGAUAUGGUGCA